rnacentral:rRNA from 1 species
AUUGAACGCUGGCGGCAUGCCUUACACAUGCAAGUCGAACGGCAGCACGGGAGCAAUCCUGGUGGCGAGUGGCGAACGGGUGAAUAAUAUAUCGGAACGUGCCCAGUCGUGGGGGAUAACGUAGCGAAAGCUACGCUAAUACCGCAUACGAUCUACGGAUGAAAGCGGGGGAUCGCAAGACCUCGCGCGAUUGGAGCGGCCGAUAUCAGAUUAGGUAGUUGGUGAGGUAAAGGCUCACCAAGCCGACGAUCUGUAGCUGGUCUGAGAGGACGACCAGCCACACUGGGACUGAGACACGGCCCAGACUCCUACGGAGGCAGCAGUGGGAAUUUUGGACAAUGGGCGCAAGCCUGAUCCAGCAAUGCCGCGUGCAGGAUGAAGGCC